AAAAGAAAAAGGGGAAAAAAGGACGAUAUUGUCUGUCUGCCUAUCCACGUUGUUUGAUUGUUUGUUUUGUUCCUUUGUUUUUGUUCUUUCUUCUUUUUGUCUCUUGUGUACACGAAGAGAAAAGG
rnacentral:ribozyme from 11 species